AGGGGAAAUGCCCAUCGCAAACACAUGAUGUUCGACACAAAAACGACUACGGGAUUACAUGAAACAUCUCCGAGAAAGAACGAGAUGAUCACAAACAACUGAAAACCAAUGAAUGACUUUGCAUCUUUCCGAGUUUCGAAAGUAUACAGCAUUGUCCAUUCAUGGAAAAGCUACAUUAACAUCAACUAAUCAUCAUUUUCUUCAAAGUCAGAAUCAUCCGUCGGCUUCUCACUUUCAGAAUCACUCAAGACAUAUGUCGUCUGCUUUCGGUUCACCCUCUGAGGCCUUCGUUUCGGAGGGGCCACCUCAACCACGUCUUCACCAUCAUUAGACAUAGGAUUGGAUGACAUUUCCUCACUUGUGGAACUGUCUGCCUUACCUUCCUUUCCCAGUAGAGAACUGCUUUUCUUAUUGAAAGGAGAUGCUCUCAUCUUUCGUACUUUCUUUUCUGGCGAAACUCCAGUGCUUUCAGCUGGCUUUAACAUCUCGGUCAAGAGCCGUUGGGUCGUUCCCCGAGCCUGCUGCCUGUUGGCUUGACCUUUCUUUGUUGCUGCAGGUGGCGUUGAUUUCUUCGCAGCAGCAGAUGGUUUUCUGCCUCCUUUCUUCUUUGCCACCUCUGCUUCAGAGUCCACUAUCUCGUAGUCAUCAUCUCCACUGUCAUUACUAAUUUCUUCCUCUGAAAUCUCGGAGAAAAUGACCGAGGGCUUCUUCCUUGUGGCAGCCCUUUUACUGGGUUCUUUCACCUUGACUGGUAUUUCAGGCACUUUGUCCUCUAUAGCUGCAUUGCAUGGAAAUGUGUUAAACUUCGGGCAAAUGUGGCACAUGAUCCCAAUGCAGCAGAUGCUCCUUAAUCUUCACUAUCUAAUGUACCCAGUAUCUUUACAAAUGGAAUUGACUUUUAAGUCGAACAAACAAAAGUCAACUCAAAUUAGUUUGAAAUCCGACACGUUGACGUGCUGUUGAAUACCCUGAAAGAAAAGAAAAGAAAAGAAACCUUCCACGAUGGCCAGGUGAAAAGGUCCCCCUAAGCUCCAACAUCAUCAGUUUUAAAUGCAUGCCUGCGAAAGAUUCAAAUGGCCCGUCAAAAGACCCGUGCUUGCUUGACUUUCCCCUCUUUUCAAGUUGCUUCCCAAAACUAUUGUCCUUCCAUUCUACCGUUCCUUGAUUUUAUGUUUUCACUUCAAAAGAAGAAAUUUCCUAUUAGAAAAAUCACAAUUCAAAGAAAAAUACAAAUUUCAUCCAAAUAUUGAAAUUGAUUUAUAAGUUAAAGACUCAUUUUAACUAUGUAAUCCAAGUGUGUAUGUGAGAGUUCUCAUCUUUUUCGAAUUAUAUGGCAACCCAGAUAAAUUCACAUUAACAUGCAAUUUAAAAAAUUCUCAAUAAUUACGACCAAAUCUCAUAGGUUUGCUUUUCAUUCCUCUCUCCACUAAUGUAAGCUAAUUAUCCAACUAAAAAUCAAUAGGAUUUUUCUCGGUUUGUAAUAUAAGGCUGGGCUAAAUGUGAGAUAACGGUAAUUUUAAACUCAAAUCACCCAUCAACACGUUUAAUUUUAGGAUCUAAUUAAAGCCAAUGUCACUAUUUAAUUUCACUCCUUCAAGAUCAUUUUUCUGCUACCAUAUAUCAUCAUUCCUUCUUUCUUUUCCUUUUUUUUCUUUUUUUUAAUUACUUUAUGGUAGAGUUUCUCCCAAAGUCCCUCCUAAUAUAACAUGAAAAUUUCCAACCCAUUGAGUGAGCCUAGGUUGCCUCCCAAGAUUGUCACAGAUUUCGAGAAAAGCAUCAAUGUGAGCGUUUGGAUCAUCGCUUGGUAGCCCACUAAAUUGCAUCGAUUGUUGAAGUAUUUGAAUGAAUGACGGCUUGAUCUCAAAGUUGUUUACUUGAAUUGCAAGUCUUCUGAUACUUGAUGUGGUGCCUUGAACUGUUGGCGCAACAUAAUCUCUUAAGAGUCUAUGUGGAUUUUCAUUCUCCCAAUUUGCCAUCUUCUUAGCAUAAUUUCUGUGUUAUCUCAGUCGCCUUUUGAAUGUACGUUCGAUUUCUGGAUCAAGCUCAGCAAGUUUCCCUUGUUGGCUACAUGUCAUAAACCGAUGUAUACCCUAAAACAAAACGAAAGCUAGAUUAAACUUAUAAUUAUCUAGUAUCAAUAUUAAUUAGCAUUAAACAAACGAUCCUUGGCAAUGGCGCCAAAAACUUGUUCGUAAAAUUCUAAAUGUAAGUGAACGUGUCGAGCAAGUAAUAUAAUAAUGAGAAAGAGUAUCGUCCCACGGAGAUUGAUAAUUAAUAAACUAAUUAAAUACUAAAAUAGAUUAAUUCUAAAAUUUAUCUAACAUAUCAAAAUAUAAUUGAGAAUAAAUUAAAAACAAAAUUUGGAAACUAAAUGCAGUAAUCAAUUAGAUAAAUAUGUUAGAGCGUCCGAUUUCACUAUAACCACUACAUAUGAAUUUCAGAUUGUUAUGAGUACAAGAACAAAUCAAACAUGUGAUAGCGGAAUUUCCUAAUCUAUUUACUAUCUUAUCUCUAGGUGUAUCAAACAUACUCAUUUUAUUAAUUCAAUAUAUCUCUAUGUGAAUUAAAAUAAAUAUAAAUGUAUUAAAAACUAUGAAUAUUCUCGACUUAGUUUUUUAGAUCAACCUUAUCACCGAAAGUUACACAAAUAAUGCAGUAUAUCUCUAUUUACGUUUAAUUUAUGGUUAUAUAUUAUAAUGAGCAAUUGCAUAUUAUUACUUUUCAAUCUCAAACAUGCACAUCAGAUUAUUCAAGUGGUGACUAGUCACUCAAAAGUAUUAUACACAAUAAUAUAUAACUCGCAGGUAUGAAAUCAAUUGCAAAAUGUAAAGAUCGUGAAAUUCACAUCAUAAUGGUUAGGUUACAUCGUAGCCUUAACAAAAGAAAAUUAGAAUAAAUAAAAAUAUAAAUCAAAUCUAGCAUCGCAAAUCAAAGAAUAAAAAUUCUGUCAUCACUUUUGUCUUCUCUUCAAAAUACUUAAAAAACUCUCAGGAUAAUGAAAAACGAUCUAACAAAAACAUAAUUGCUCUCUCUAGCUCUCAAUGUUCUCCUAUAUAUAGGAUAUAUCCAAUAUCCUUGUCUCCAAGCAAUUGCGCACAAAAUCGUAGUAAAUAAGAGAAUUUGAUUUGAUAUCUAUCUUCUAAUGCUAGCAGGUAACAUUAGACUACGUUUGGCAAUUAGGAUAAAAUUCGGGAGAGAAUAUGAUUUAUCCUAUUUUAUGUUUGGUGCUUGGUUAGGAUAAAGUUGGAUAUAGGGGAAUAUAAGCCGGAUAAAAUUAUCCUAUGGGGAAAGUGAAAUAAAUGUGGAUAAGAUUUCUAAUGUCCAUAAUAGGAGAGUUAUUUUUCUCAAAUAACAAAUUUCUUAAAUUAACAAAAGUAAAAUUAUAUUUCAAUAUAAAUAAUAUUUGAAUUCUAAUUUAAGAAAUAAAAAAUAAAAAAUAAUUUUUUAAUUUAAUCUUAUUUUAAAUCAUUUAUUUAAAUUUAAUUCUAUCUUAUAAUAAACAUUCAAUCUAUCAAUUAAAUAUUUAUAUUGAUUAUAUAUUUUAGGUAUUUUUAUAUUUUAGGUAUGUUGGUACAAUUUACGAUUUGAUAAAAUUUUAUUGAAGAAUGGUAAAAGGGGAAAAGAGAAAUAAUAAAGAAAAUAAUUUAAAAAAUAAUGAUAUGCCGUUUAUAUCAAAUAUAUAUAUACACACACACAUAUAUGAUAUGAUGUAAAUAUAUUUGAGUUUAAUAUUGCGAUUCACCAAACAGUAGAUAUGAUAUAGAAAAAUUCUAAAAUUUCAUAUCCUAUCAUAUUCAAUCAUAUCCUAGUUAGAAAUCCAGACGACCAAACAUAUCUUUAAGGGAUAAAAUCAUGGAUUCCCUAAUUUGAUAUCCAUCUUCCAUUGUUUUUUUGUUUGAAUUCUUGAUUUUUGUUAUUUUUUUUCUUAUCUUCUCUAUAUCUCAUUAUUCUGUAUAAAAAAGGAAAAUUCGAAUAAUCAGAAUGAAAUCCAAAUAUUUUCUUAUAAAUAUUGCAUUAUUUGUUACCUAAAAUAGGCGAAAUAACUCUAUUUUUUAUAAAGUUAUGAAAAAAUAAGUUACAAGAACAAAAUGUUAUCCCCAUCCUCGAACGAAGGUCAAUGACCUUGGGUUGACAUAGGCGAUGGCAUUGUGAGGCUCACAAAGGCAUGAUGGAGAUGGAGGCCACACAACAGAGCAGGUGGCUAGCUAUUGCAAGCCUAGGUUUUAAGUGUGCUCACGGUAGAACAAGAAGAUGGCAAAGAGAAAUUAAGGAAAAAGAAAAGGAAAACAAAUAGAAGGAAACAAGAAUAAAAAAAUUGAAAAGAAAGUAGGUAAAACCCAUAUUAGCCAUUUAUUAAAAUUGACCAAUGUAUCAAUCAUUUAAAGUGAUAAAUUUAAGGUUUAAACAUUCCCUUAACUUUAGAUAAUCACGAUCAUUUUGGGAUAUAGCCAAUAUUUUGAUGGAGCUAAAAGCCUUGACCGCCCUUAGACAUUGGUAGUAAUUUAUUUUGCUUUAGCUUCAUGUUUAAGGUAGAUAUGAGUAAAAUCAUUGUUUCAUAUGCUACUUGAGAAAACUUUAAUUUUUACAAAAGAAAAGUUACACAAAUGAAUUCAGAACUUUAAAUUCAAUGUACAAUAUUAUUCUUGAACUUUUAAUUCAUUUAACAUAGUCUCUAAACUUUAGUCCACUGUGUAAUGUCAAUUAUGAACUUUUAACUUGUUUGAUUUGAUUUUGAACUUUUAAAUAUUUUAUAUAAAUUAGAGAUUACGUUGAAUAUAUAUCAAUAUCUCGGAAAUCAUAUUUAACGGGCGCCAAUUUCUAGGGUUCGGGAAACGCAACCCCACACGCCCGCUCGCUCUCUCUCGCUUCCCUCCGCCUUACCACCUCCGCCGAGCUGCCGGACGCCACCGCGCGACCGCCGCGUACGCCGGCGACCCCCCCCCGGCGGCCGCCACCGCCCGGCUCCGUCGACGGCCUCGUGAGCUCUCGAGAAAGCCACGCCUACGGCCAAUAGCCGACCCAAUUGACCUCAACCGAGAAAUUCCCGAGUAAAAAAACGCUUCUUUUGACUCUUGAAUUAUCGUUGUUAUUGCGUGGCUUUUACUGAACACUUGAUAACUCAAAACCUUGCCGAUGAACAGGCUGCUGUGGCUAUUUGCCGAAACUAAUGGCUGAAAGUUUGCCCGAAGAGAUUCUCAUCGACAUACUCUUGAGGGUUCCGGCCGAGUCGUUGGUGCGAUUUAAAUUGGUCUGCAAACGGUGGCGGUCUCUAAUCUCUGACCCAGGCUUCGCCAAGUUGCAUCUGCAGAGGCUCAAGGCAGGGGAUUUAAUUCCUAGGCAGAGAAUUUUCAUCGGCGACGACGAGACCAUAGAUUUCAAAACCUUCGACGCCAAUGAGGGUUGUGUGGCGGUACCGCAUAAGAUUAAAACGAUCAAAUCUGACGGCAAUAACACCAAUUGGUGGCAGAUCAAGGGGUCCUGUGAUGGCCUGGUUUGUUUUCUUGUCUCUGGCAUUUUUCUCAUAUAUAACCCGACCACCAGGGAAUAUAGGGAGUUGCCCUCUUCCGAUUUCGAGGAAGAUUGUGAUUUGCAUUUGCUUGACCGUAACAAUGAGUCAUUCUAUGGAAUCGGAUAUGACCCUCGAUCUGAUGACUACAAAAUAGUAGAGGGCAUCCAAGAAUUUUUUGAUCAUUUUUGGGGGGCGGCAAUAUUUUCGCUUAAGUCCGGUUCUUGGAGAAGGAUAUAUUUCCCGAGCGAAGAACUCGAAGAAAUCGGUUUCGAUGUUGGUGGCAACGGAGUUUAUUGGAAGGGGGCCUUACACUGGCACGUCUAUGGGUUAUGGGACGAGACUGGGAUUUUGUCACUUGAUUUGUCGGAAGAGAAAUUCCACCAGGUGCUUUUGGCUCCUAAAGUCGAAACGGAUGGACGAUCCCGGCCAUGCAUGAAUCUCGGGAUUCACGGGACUAGUCUGUUCAUAUAUAGCAGCUAUGGUAACCACGUCCACACAUGGAUAACAGAUGAGUAUGGGAGAGGAGGAUCAUGGACAAAAUGGUUCAGUGUUGAUUGGACAAAUUGGUUCAGUGUUAAUUGGACAAAUCGGUUCAGUGUUGAUCCGAAUGUUUCUAUCCCCCUUGUGUGCACAAGGAGCGGAAAAAUCAUUUUUUUGAUAAAUAGAGACCAGCUGAUUCUGUUCAAUCCGGAGGAUAAUACUUACAAAGAUUAUCCCUACAAAGAUUAUCCGUACAACGAUUUCUCCGUCGAAUAUGCUAUCUAUUUGGAAACUCUUAUUUCCCCCUAUCUAUUUUGACGGUGAGCCAUCAAGAAUCGGGAGCGUUAUCAAUUUUCUUAAUAGCUAAGGGUUCUAAAUUAUAUUAGUAUACGUUGCUAUGUAUAACGCUAUGUCAACAUGUCACAUUAUAUAAAUUUUUACACUAGAUUUUCUGCUUGUUUCCGAUUUAGAUAGCAAUUUUCCAAUUGUCUUCAUAAUCAGGAAGCAAGCUCCAUCAUAUGAAAAUGACGAUAGCUAAUUGUUGUUGUUUAGAAAACCUCUCUGAAAUGAUAAAAUUAUGCUAACAGAAGAGCAUUGCACGCAUUACAUACCCCAAAUUUUGAAUUUGUACAGCAAGAUUUUCUUUGCUUGAGAUGGAUCGCUUCUUACUAAUGAAAUCAAGGAAUUCCUCAGUUUGCAUAUCUUUUUUGAAAGAAGUAUCCAAAAAGUCACAGAGAUAAGAAAUUAUCUCCUCGCUAGUUAUCUUAAACACCGCGGUGGUAUCGGGCUUCACAGAAAAAUAAUGUAACAUGAGGGGAUGUCGCAACAAUGGACCCAACUCUAGCUCUUCAAACCGUUCGACUCCUAUGGUUAACCAUACAGCGAUGUAAUCAAGGAAUUCCUCAGUCUGCACAUCUUUUUUAGCAGGUAGCUACUUCAGAUCAUACAACAAUGUGAUCCACCGAACCCCAACAAAGCAAUGGAUAAAUGCAUUUAUCUGAUAAUAGAAAGGCUAUAGUCAUAAAAAGAAUUAAGAGAGCUGAUGUAAAAUGAAGAGGGACCCUAGAGUUUAUGUGCAUACCCUGUGGUGAACCAUACAGCGAUGUAUACGCUAAAUGCCCCCAAACCCAACCCAAAAAUACACUGGCCACGAGGGUGGUUGUGAGAGAACCAAGCCCAGUAAAAACCAACUUCACACAUGUUCUGAGAUCAUCAAAUUCCAUAAAAAGGUAGCAUGCCCCCCAAAACUCCACCAUUGAAAUAAUAAGGCUAAGAUUCUAACAUCGUCUUUCACCUAAUAUAGUGCCUAUGCAUAUUGUACUUCUCAUUUCUAUGCUAAAAUUACAAGAAUAAUCUUUAAGUUUCGCAACAACUAAUAAACUUUUUGGCAUAAAUGGUAAUUUCCUUUAUGAAAGAAGCGAUACCCAAAUAAUUUUCAAAAGAUGAUGGUUAGCAACUUCACAAUUUUUUCUCAGAUGAGUACUUGAGAAUAAUCAACUUCCAAUUCCGUGGAAUUAAUGUGCGACAUGUCCUAUUGAGCCAUGCGAUCCUCGUAUCAUACAUGGAUCUGCAUUUCCCUUCAAGCUUUCGCUGAGACCAAUACAUCAAGCUGAGAGCAGAAUCCAUUUUCUUUGGUAAACUAGGAUUUAAUUCCAUCAUAAAUUCAGUCAAACAUCGCAUCCGCAAGGAACCAUCCUGUUAAGGGGAAAUGCCCAUCGCAAACACAUGAUGUUCGACACAAACGACUACGGGAUUACAUGAAACAUCUCCGAGAAAGAACGAGAUGAUCACAAACAACUGAAAACCAAUGAAUGACUUCACAUCUUUCCGAGUUUCGAAAGUAUACAGCAUUGUCCAUUCAUGGAAAAGCUACAUUAACAUCAACUAAUCAUCAUUUUCUUCAAAGUCAGAAUCAUCCGUCGGCUUCUCACUUUCAGAAUCACUCAAGACAUAUGUCGUCUGCUUUCGGUUCACCCUCUGAGGCCUUCGUUUCGGUGGGGCCACCUCGACCACGUCUUCACCAUCGUUAGACAUAGGAUUGGAUGACAUUUCCUCACUCGUGGAACUGUCUGCCUUACCUUCCUUUCCCAGUAGAGAACUGCUUUUCUUAUUGAAAGGAGAUGCCCUCAUCUUUCGUACUUUCUUUUCUGGCGAAACUCCAGUGCUUUCAGCUGGCUUUAACAUCUCGGUCAAGAGCCGUUGGGACGUUCCCCGAGCCUGCUGCCUGUUGGCUUGACCUUUCUUUGUUGCUGCAGGUGGCUUUGAUUUCUUCGCAGCAGCAGAUGGUUUUCUGCCUCCUUUCUUCUUUGCCACCUCUGCUUCAGAGUCCACUGUCUCGUAGUCAUCAUCUCCACUGUCAUUACUAUUUUCUUCCUCCGAAAUCUCGGAGAGAAUGACC
rnacentral:lncRNA from 1 species